rnacentral:tRNA from 1 species
GCCUGGGUGGCUCAGUCAGUAAGUGUCUGACUUCAGCUCAGGUCAUGAUCUCACGGUUCGUGGGUUCGAGCCCCACACUGGGCU